CUGGUUCCCGUCAUCAAGAUGCAUGAAUUUAACAGCAUUUUGUAUGACUCGGAGGAAGGGAACCUGCUAGCUUUCAGAGCGAGCUCGGACCCAGCCUUUCAGCCCAUCAGCAGCAAAGUUGAACAUGUGGCCACCGCUUUUGAUGCCUAAUGGGAAUUUGCAUUUUGAACAGUUUAUAAAUCUGUCCCCAUAGCCUCAUUCCUUUGGCAAACGUGAUUACAUAGACUCAUGACAAAAAUCUUGCGAAAUUUAUCUUAUCCAUUAGCCUGCAGCAGUUCUUCCUUCGGAGGUACUCAAGUUCUGCUCCACAAUAGUCUGGGGCUGUGCUGGACAGCAAAACUAACAAAGAAAAGAAGGAUUUGGGUCCUGUCUGUUUGUAGGGGAAGUAAGAGGCUGGUGUGAAAUUCUUAUACUAGUGAUGGUCAAUAGAGUCUGAAUCCUUCAUGUUAUUGGACUUGCCUCUUCAGAAGAUUUUUGUGAGUGUACCCUGAUUUGGUACCUUCCUACAUUAGGCUUCAUUCCUACAAUCCUCCUGGGCAAGCAGAGACAGUUAAAGCAUACCUGUAUAAUGAGGGUUUAAGCAAGGCAGUGAAAGUUAGACUCUCAGUCUCCUCUUCUGGACUUUGCCCAAGAAGACUUCCUGAAAGGACAAUUUCACCUUGUUCCAGUUCCAUGUCUUAAAUUGCAGCAAGACCUGCUCUCAGAUCUUGAGGCAUCUGACAGAAGUUAAGAAAAAUCUAUUAGUUCUGUGAGAAGAAAGGAACAUUAUGGCCUGGUUUCAACAAGGAACUUCUAUAUCAUAUCUGUCUGAAAGACAGUAAGCAUCAAGUGGCAGAAGAGCCCCCCACCCUCAAGUAAUUUGUUCCACAUUUAAUUAAUACCUACUUGAACCAUCAUACGUCUGAAAUUUACCAUGGUGCAGCAUAUGUCCAUGUGCAGUCAGACAAGCUGCAGGAAGUCAUUAGAAUCCCCAGAGCAAUGAGAUCCUACCAGCCUGAGCUCAUCUCCUGUGCCUCUUAUCAACAGAGCAUCUGCAGUGGUGAAGACUCCAAAAAUGGCAUUAUCCCCAUCUUUCUACUCAGUCCUUGAGAAGUCUGCAGCAGUCUGUAACAGCCAGUCAAGGGAGUCCUCCCAAAGUAUGUGCCAUGAGCAUAUGCAUAAGCUUGCUGUUCCUUCUCCAUUGCACUCUUGUGUGGCCACACUCAAAUGCAGAAGAGGAUUUACUCAGCAAGCACCACAGUAUUACUUCUGAAUGAGAAGGAACAGAAGCAAGCCAGGUACAGGAUCAGGAAUAGAAAAGGCAUGAUGGUGGUUGGGGUAGGGACCAUCACCUCCAGGAGACAGAUGAAAGUAAAGUAUGAUGCUUUCCAGUGACCUGCUUUCCUCAUCAAAGUUUGUCCUCAUAAAGCUCUCCCUGGUUCAAAGGAUUUGAACUUUGGGUUCAAACCCUCAAAGUGCUAACAGUGAAAAUGUCACGUACUCAGCACUACCUGUUUCAAACCACUCCUGUUGCACCUACUUGCUAAAGUAGUUAGAGCCACUUUCUCCAUAACAGGCUUACACCAAAUAAACAGUCUGUACUGAACCUUUAAGCCAUACAAAGUAGUAAGAUCAAAAUAUGGCUUUAAAAUCAAAUACCUACUAUUACUGAAUAAAAUGAUUCACUUCAGUUACCAAUUGAUAUUUUACUUCCCACACAUUACUACAUGGCUUAAUGGUAAUAUUCCAGUAAUCCUUUGUGCAUCUUUAAUACAGACACUAAAAAUAUUAUCUGCAGUUUUGAUAAAGGUGUACAGCUUCCAUCAAACCCUUUUAAUUAAGAUCAUAAUGCUAGUUUAAAUGCAAGAAUCUGUACAAAACUGUCAUAUUUCUCCCUGGUGAAUUACAAACUCCUUUGAAACAUCUUGAUUAGAAGCUUGAAAGAAGGAAAACCGUUCAAAUUUUAAGUCAGAUUCCUUAUGCUGACCAGCACAGCAAUACAUUGCAAAAAUUCUCUUGAUCAAGACUGCAUAUUUAUAAUCUUUCUAAGUACUGGUGAAUAAUGGUCGUAAAAAUGGCAUUGUUUUCUAUGAAAUACCAGCUGAUACAGGAGACAAUAGUGAAAUUAGAAACCUACGAUACAGAAUUUCCUGUAAGAACAAGCAAGAAUUACUAGUCUUUGUAGCACUAGAUGACUAUACAGGCAUAAGAGGUAAUUGCUUCUGCUCUCACCGUGUAUCCUGCAGAAUUGUAGGCAGAAGCCAGAUCUGAUCUCUUGCUGCUGUUGGGCAGUUAUGCCUAAUCUGAAGAGAAUCUGCCUCCAAAAAUAAGUCUGCCACUUGCUACCAGGAAGCAGACAUUUUAGUGGUUAAGAAUGAAGUGUAGGGUGUUUUUUUAAUGAUAAUACUUGAUUAUAGAGUGAAUGCAUUUGGACAUCAAAUACAUGGCGAGAAGACUUCACCACAUGUAAAAGUGAUUAUAAGACUACAAAUUAAAAAAAGAAAGGUAGAGGAACUGUUGUUUUAUAGGCUAUUUGCAUCUGCAUCAUAUUUUUUUUUACAGCCUUAGUAAUACCUAGUUACCUUUGGUUUU